UACAGAGGGUGCGAGCGUUAAUCGGAGUUACUGGGCGUAAAGCGCACGCAGGCGGUCUGCUAAGUUUGGAGUGACAGUUGGUGGCUUAACUGCCAAAGUGCUUCGAAAACUGACAGACUUGAGGGCUUCAGAGGGACACGGAAUUCCGGGUGGAGUGGUGAAAUGCGUAGAGAUCCGGAGGAACACCAAAGGCGAAGGCAGUGUCCUGGGGAGUACCUGACGCUCAGGUGCGAAAGCCAGGGGAGCGAACGGG
rnacentral:rRNA from 1 species